GCAGCUCAGGCACCUGAAUUAUUUACAACGGCUCCUGCCCUUGCUAUUCCAAAAGCUAUCUCAAAUGCUGGUUUACAUGCUUCUCAAAUUGAUUAUUAUGAAAUUAAUGAAGCCUUUUCCGUUGUGGCUCUUGCCAACCAGAAGCUGCUCGGUCUUGAUCCUGAUAGAGUUAAUGCUCAUGGGGGAGCUGUAUCUUUGGGACACCCAUUGGGCUGUAGUGGAGCUCGGAUUUUGGUCACAUUGUUAGGGGUACUAAGACAGAGGAAUGGCAAGUAUGGGGUUGGUGCUGUCUGCAAUGGUGGUGGAGGAGCAUCUGCUCUUGUGGUUGAACUCAUGCCUGGGGCUAGAGUUCGACAUUCCAAGCUGUGAUCUAAAUUGGCCUUCUCAAAAGACAUUGGGCUGUUUGGUAUUUCUCCUGUUCCACACUCAAAGGACUAAUAAUUCAGUGUACCAUAUUAAAUACAGCAAAAUUAGGUGCGUUUCGAUAUAAUAAAUGGUCUUUGCUACAUUGCUUCUGUUGUUUGGUGUUUAAAAACUUUUCG
rnacentral:misc_RNA from 1 species